AGUCUCAGGUAAUCGCGGUUUAUAUUUUUUCGAAAAUAUAGGCUGAGGAAAGUCCAAGCUUGCACAGGCUGAGAUGCUUGUAGUGAUCGUACUUGCUGAAAAAAUAAGGCAAGAUACCUUUGUACAAAGGUAAUGGCAGAUAAAAGAGCUAAGGCUAAAAGCUAUGCUCGAGUAGUCUUGAAAAGUGCCACAGUGACGAAGCAAUUUAGGAAACUGAAUUGGUGGAACGCGGUAAACCCUGCGAGCAGGUAACCCAAACUUUGGUAGGGGCGCUUCAUGACGGAAAUGAACUAAUCAUGGGGGCGAAUAUUUAUAUUCGGAGAUAGAUGAUUACCACGUAAUUAAACGAACCUGGGUUUAGUUACGGACAGAACGUGGCUUAUCGAG
rnacentral:RNase_P_RNA from 2 species